UUAUAAUUUUAGUCUUCAUAUGAUAGCAUUCAAUAAACGCUAAGUCGAAAAAUCUCUAAGCGGGAAUCAAAAAUUGCAUUGUCCGCCAACACUUAACCAAAUAAUUCACUAAAACGCCUUUUCCCUACUCAUUUCUCCUAAAACUUAUUUCUCGCUCUCUCCUUCAAACCCUAAUCCCCUUUCUCCAUCUCCAAAGAUGCAAACCCAUAUCUUUCUCUUGUCUUCGUCGAUGACCAGCCCAGAUUUUGAAGCUCAAUCUCUUCUCAUUGUCUCCUCUUUCUUCUUUGUCUUUCGCCGUUUGUUCCUCUCGUCUUCUCUUUCUCUUCUCCUUCUUCUCGGCUCAUACUUCUUAUUAUCAUCACCAUUAAACCCUAGAUUUACUUUUCCUUCACUUGUACUCGGAAAUUUCUCCGAUUUGGUAUAGUUAGAGCUCAAAUCGAACGAUUUUAUGUUUGAAUUUCGAUUUGGCAUCAUGUUGAUUUUACGAGGAACUGUAAAAAGUUUCGUUUUUUAUUUUUUCAAAAUUAAUGAGCAGAGGUAAUUUUUCCGAAACAGAGUUUGUGGGAACCAUAGUCAGAGAUUGGAAGGUGAAUUGAUUCCAUGCCCUAUUGAUCCAUCUCACUUUGUGUUGCAGGAGAAUCUCGAAAAGCAUAUCAAAAGAUGUCCUUUACUCAAACAAACCAUACAAUUGUCUGGUCAAAGGUUAUAUUAGAAGGGUAUUAAUGCCGGAAACAAAGAAGAAGAAGAUAAGAUGGGAUCUUGUUCUGUUGUAACUUCAGAGAUGAAGAGGAAUCUGCUAUAUAGUAUGAGUGUUUUUCUAAGCUGAUCGGGUCAUUGAGGCAAACAGAGAACUUAGUAUAAGAGCGUAUGAGAAUCGAUAGUGUUUAUACCAAAUCGAUUUGGGAUCUCUUUGCAGGACAAAAAUCGAUUUUGGAUCUCUUUGCAGGACACAUUUAUAUUUAAAUUUCGGUGUUGAUGAUAAAUCACCCAUUUGUUAUCUUACUGUAUCGGUAACUUCAGUGCAGAAGUUUGAUGUUUUCAUCUAUCUUGCUUUUACGUUAGGUCUUGUUGGGCCAGUGCUUGCUAAAGAAGGGGCCACCAGAUGUAUCCAAUUUGGUUUCGGAGGCUUUUAAGGUCAACAGUCUUAGGCGUGAAUUGCAGUUGCUGGGUUCAGGUCCUCUAGAAUUUUUAUGUUGAAAGUUUUGUAUCCCUCUCUGCUCUAAUCUUCUAGUACUAAUAACCCACAGCUCGAGAAUCUUGUAAGUCUUCUUGCCAUUUGCUGAUGGUUCAUGUAAUCUUACAGAUAGAAUAGAACAUUUAGUGACUUUGUCAUUUGCUAGUCAAAAUUUGCAGGCUUUCACCCAAUUGAGUAUGUAAUGUAGCCACCCUUUACUUGUUUGUUUUAGUAUGAUACUGUACUUGUAAAAUUUUCAGAUAAAUGGGCAAAACUUUCUUUUGGAAUAGCCUCAAAUACUCGGAGGCUACCAAAGCAGAGGAGAUUGGUUGAAGAAUGUGAUCACAAUAUGGCGCCACAAGAGAAAGGAUAGACGAUGUAUCAAAGGCUAAGUCUGCUAAGGAUGGUAUUAUUCUUUUGUAUGAUCUAGAAGUUUGUCUCUAUUUAUUGUGAUGUUAGUUUUAUUUUAUUUAAGACUUUGUGGCACUUGAUGUUAUGUAACGCUUGAUAUUAUGUAAGACUUCUUUUGGUUAAUGAAAUAUUAAUAUUAUGUA